GAGGGUGUAGUUCAGUGUUAGAGUGCGUGCCUAGCAUGCAUGAGGCCCUGGGUUCAAUCCCCAGUACUGCCA
rnacentral:tRNA from 1 species